rnacentral:rRNA from 1 species
GACGAACGCUGGCGGCGUGCUUAACACAUGCAAGUCGAACGGAAAGGCCCUGCUUUGGUGGGUUUCUCGAGUGGCGAACGGGCGAGUAACACGUGAGUAACCUGCCCUUGACUUGGGGAUAACUUCAGGAAACUGGGGCUAAUACCGGAUAUGAGCUCCUGCUGCAGGGUGGGGGUUGGAAAGUUUCGGCGGUUGGGGAUGGACUCGCGGCUUAUCAGCUUGUUGGUGGGGUAGUGGCUUACCAAGGCUUUGACGGGUAGCCGGCCUGAGAGGGUGACCGGCCACAUUGGGACUGAGAUACGGCCCAGACUCCUACGGGAGGCAGCAGUGGGGAAUAUUGCACAAUGGGCGGAAGCCUGAUGCAGCAACGCCGCGUGCGGGAUGACGGCCUUCGGGUUGUAAACCGCUUUCGCCUGUGACGAAGCGUGAGUGACGGUAAUGGGUAAAGAAGCACCGGCUAACUACGUG